UACAGAGGGUGCAAACGUUGUUCGGAAUUACUGGGCGUAAAGCGCGUGUAGGCGGCUUGGCAAGUCGGGUGUGAAAGCCCUGGGCUCAACCCAGGAAGUGCACUCGAAACUGCUUGGCUUGAGUACUGGAGAGGGAAGCGGAAUUCCCGGUGUAGAGGUGAAAUUCGUAGAUAUCAGGAGGAACACCGGUGGCGAAGGCGGAUCUCUGGGCCAUUACUGACGCUGAGGAGCGAAAGCGUGGGGAGCGAACAGG
rnacentral:rRNA from 1 species